rnacentral:rRNA from 1 species
UACGUAGGCAGCGAGCGUUGUUCGGAGUUAUUGGGCGUAAAGCGCGCGCAGGCGGUCCUUUAAGUCUGAUGUGAAAGCCCACGGCUCAACCGUGGAGGGUCAUUGGAAACUGGGGGACUUGAGUACAGAAGAGAAGAGUGGAAUUCCACGUGUAGCGGUGAAAUGCGUAGAGAUGUGGAGGAACACCAGUGGCGAAGGCGACUCUUUGGUCUGUAACUGACGCUGAGGCGCGAAAGCGUGGGGAGCAAACAGG